rnacentral:rRNA from 1 species
AGCUCCAAUAGCGUAUAUUAAAGUUGUUGCAGUUAAAAAGCUCGUAGUCUGACCAAUUUGGCCUUUGCGUCAUUGCUUUACCUGCAUUGUUGGGGCUCUGUGUUUCGGCUUCGGUUGAGAUGCUUAGUCCUUUGUGUGGGGGGCCAAAUUUGUACUUCGGAGGAACGUGUGUGCUUUUAAUUAAGUGCGCAAUUGGGAUUCCGAUAGUUUACUUUGAGAAAAAUAGAGUGUUCAAAGCAGGCGAUUAUGCCCUUGAAUACGUUAGCAUGGGAUAAUGAAAUAGGACAUUGGUUCUCUAUUUCUGAUGGUUUGAAGGACCGAUGUAAUGAUUAAUAGGGACAGUUGGGGACAUUUAUAUUCCAUGGCUAGAGGUGAAAUUCUUGGAUUCAUGGAAGAUAAA